GACGAACGCUGGCGGCGUGCUUAACACAUGCAAGUCGAACGGAAAGGCCCUGCUGUUGUGGGGUGCGCGAGUGGCGAACGGGUGAGUAACACGUGAGUAACCUGCCCUUUACGUUGGGAUAACUUCAGGAAACUGGGGCUAAUACCGGAUAGGAGCUCCUGCUGCAUGGGGGGGGUUGGAAAGUUUCGGCGGUGGGGGAUGGACUCGCGGCUUAUCAGCUUGUUGGUGGGGUAGUGGCUUACCAAGGCUUUGACGGGUAGCCGGCCUGAGAGGGUGCCCGGCCACAUUGGGACUGAGAUACGGCCCAGACUCCUACGGGAGGCAGCAGUGGGGAAUAUUGCACAAUGGGCGGAAGCCUGAUGAAGAAACGCCGCGGGCGGGAUGCCGGCCUUCGGGUUGUAAACCGCUUUCGCCUGUGACGAAGCGUGAGUGACGGUAAUGGGUAAAGAAGCACCGGCUAACUACGUG
rnacentral:rRNA from 1 species